rnacentral:rRNA from 1 species
AAGAGUUUGAUCAUGGCUCAGAUUGAACGCUGGCGGCAGGCCUAACACAUGCAAGUCGAACGGUAACAGGAAGCAGCUUGCUGCUUUGCUGACGAGUGGCGGACGGGUGAGUAAUGUCUGGGAAACUGCCUGAUGGAGGGGGAUAACUACUGGAAACGGUAGCUAAUACCGCAUAACGUCGCAAGACCAAAGAGGGGGACCUUCGGGCCUCUUGCCAUCGGAUGUGCCCAGAUGGGAUUAGCUAGUAGGUGGGGUAAAGGCUCACCUAGGCGACGAUCCCUAGCUGGUCUGAGAGGAUGACCAGCCACACUGGAACUGAGACACGGUCCAGACUCCUACGGGAGGCAGCAGUGGGGAAUAUUGCACAAUGGGCGCAAGCCUGAUGCAGCCAUGCCGCGUGUAUGAAGAAGGCCUUCGGGUUGUAAAGUACUUUCAGCGGGGAGGAAGGGAGUAAAGUUAAUACCUUUGCUCAUUGACGUUACCCGCAGAAGAAGCACCGGCUAACUCCGUGCCAGCAGCCGCGGUAAUACGGAGGGUGCAAGCGUUAAUCGGAAUUACUGGGCGUAAAGCGCACGCAGGCGGUUUGUUAAGUCAGAUGUGAAAUCCCCGGGCUCAACCUGGGAACUGCAUCUGAUACUGGCAAGCUUGAGUCUCGUAGAGGGGGGUAGAAUUCCAGGUGUAGCGGUGAAAUGCGUAGAGAUCUGGAGGAAUACCGGUGGCGAAGGCGGCCCCCUGGACGAAGACUGACGCUCAGGUGCGAAAGCGUGGGGAGCAAACAGGAUUAGAUACCCUGGUAGUCCACGCCGUAAACGAUGUCGACUUGGAGGUUGUGCCCUUGAGGCGUGGCUUCCGGAGCUAACGCGUUAAGUCGACCGCCUGGGGAGUACGGCCGCAAGGUUAAAACUCAAAUGAAUUGACGGGGGCCCGCACAAGCGGUGGAGCAUGUGGUUUAAUUCGAUGCAACGCGAAGAACCUUACCUGGUCUUGACAUCCACGGAAGUUUUCAGAGAUGAGAAUGUGCCUUCGGGAACCGUGAGACAGGUGCUGCAUGGCUGUCGUCAGCUCGUGUUGUGAAAUGUUGGGUUAAGUCCCGCAACGAGCGCAACCCUUAUCCUUUGUUGCCAGCGGUCCGGCCGGGAACUCAAAGGAGACUGCCAGUGAUAAACUGGAGGAAGGUGGGGAUGACGUCAAGUCAUCAUGGCCCUUACGACCAGGGCUACACACGUGCUACAAUGGCGCAUACAAAGAGAAGCGACCUCGCGAGAGCAAGCGGACCUCAUAAAGUGCGUCGUAGUCCGGAUUGGAGUCUGCAACUCGACUCCAUGAAGUCGGAAUCGCUAGUAAUCGUGGAUCAGAAUGCCACGGUGAAUACGUUCCCGGGCCUUGUACACACCGCCCGUCACACCAUGGGAGUGGGUUGCAAAAGAAGUAGGUAGCUUAACCUUCGGGAGGGCGCUUACCACUUUGUGAUUCAUGACUGGGGUGAAGUCGUAACAAGGUAACCGUAGGGGAACCUGCGGUUGGAUCACCUCCUUA